rnacentral:rRNA from 2 species
UGGGGAAUAUUGGACAAUGGGGGCAACCCUGAUCCAGCCAUGCCGCGUGAGUGAUGAAGGCCUUCGGGUUGUAAAGCUCUUUUGGCGGGGACGAUGAUGACGGUACCCGCAGAAUAAGCCCCGGCUAACUUCGUGCCAGCAGCCGCGGUAAGACGAAGGGGGCUAGCGUUGUUCGGAAUUACUGGGCGUAAAGCGCGUGUAGGCGGUUGUCCAAGUUGGAUGUGAAAGCCUUGAGCUCAACUCAAGAAAUGCAUUCAGGACUGGAUGACUAGAGGACCGGAGAGGAUAGUGGAAUUCCCAGUGUAGUGGUGAAAUACGUAGAGAUUGGGAAGAACACCAGUGGCGAAGGCGGCUAUCUGGACGGUUUCUGACGCUAAGACGCGAAAGCGUGGGGAGCAAACA